rnacentral:sRNA from 1 species
AGGGAUCAUUACCGAGUUUACAACUCCCAAACCCCUGUGAACAUACCUUACUGUUGCCUCGGCGGAUCAGCCCGCUCCCGGUAAAACGGGACGGCCCGCCAGAGGACCCCUAAACUCUGUCUCUAUAUGUAACUUCUGAGUAAAACCAUAAAUAAAUCAAAACUUUCAACAACGGAUCUCUUGGUUCUGGCAUCGAUGAAGAACGCAGCAAAAUGCGAUAAGUAAUGUGAAUUGCAGAAUUCAGUGAAUCAUCGAAUCUUUGAACGCACAUUGCGCCCGCCAGUAUUCUGGCGGGCAUGCCUGUUCGAGCGUCAUUUCAACCCUCAAGCCCUCGGGUUUGGUGUUGGGGAUCGGCGAGCCUUUCUGGCAAGCCGGCCCCGAAAUCUAGUGGCGGUCUCGCUGCAGCCUCCAUUGCGUAGUAGUAAAACCCUCGCAACUGGAACGCGGCGCGGCCAAGCCGUUAAACCCCCAACUUCUGAAUGUUGACCUCGGAUCAGGUAGGAAUACCCGCUGAACUUAA